GACGAACCGUGCAAACGUUAUUCGGAAUCACUGGGCAUAAAGGGCGCGUAGGCGGCUUCAUAAGUCAGGGGUGAAAUCCGGCAGCUUAACUGUCGCAGUGCCUUUGAUACUGUGGAGCUCGAGGGAGGUAGGGGUCUGUGGAACUUCCGGUGGAGCGGUGAAAUGCGUUGAUAUCGGAAGGAACGCCGGUGGCGAAAGCGACGGACUGGAUCUCUUCUGACGCUGAGGCGCGAAAGCCAGGGGAGCGAACGGG
rnacentral:rRNA from 1 species